GCAUGGUGCGGGGGUAAAAACUCCGGUGGUAUGAGAUGGACCCGCGUCUGAUUAGCUAGUUGGUAAGGUAACGGCUUACCAAGGCGACGAUCAGUAGCCGACCUGAGAGGGUGACCGGCCACAUUGGGACUGAGACACGGCCCAAACUCCUACGGGAGGCAGCAGUGGGGAAUAUUGCACAAUGGGGGAAACCCUGAUGCAGCGACGCCGCGUGAGCGAAGAAGUAUUUCGGUAUGUAAAGCUCUAUCAGCAGGGAAGAAAAUGACGGUACCUGACUAAGAAGCACCGGCUAAAUACGUGCCAGCAGCCGCGGUAAUACGUAUGGUGCAAGCGUUAUCCGGAUUUACUGGGUGUAAAGGGAGCGUAGACGGAUGGGCAAGUCUGAUGUGAAAACCCGGGGCUCAACCCCGGGACUGCAUUGGAAACUGUUCAUCUAGAGUGCUGGAGAGGUAAGUGGAAUUCCUAGUGUAGCGGUGAAAUGCGUAGAUAUUAGGAGGAACACCAGUGGCGAAGGCGGCUUACUGGACAGUAACUGACGUUGAGGCUCGAAAGCGUGGGGAGCAAACAGGAUUAGAUACCCUGGUAGUCCACGCCGUAAACGAUGACUACUAGGUGUCGGGUGGCAAAGCCAUUCGGUGCCG
rnacentral:rRNA from 1 species